rnacentral:misc_RNA from 1 species
GAUGAAGAACGUAGCGAAAUGCGAUAAGUAGUGUGAAUUGCAGAAUUCCGUGAAUCAUCGAAUCUUUGAACGCACAUUGCGCCUUCUGGUAUUCCGGAAGGCAUGCCUGUUCGAGAGUCAUUAACAACCGUUUCGAUCCCUUUCUUUCAGAAAUUACAAAGAGGAAAAGGGUUUGGUUAUGGUGGAGGAGGGAAAGGGAGCGUUUAGCCUGUAAAAAAAGAGGCUGUGUUCCGCCUCCCCCCCAAAAUUGUACAGGCGGUCGUGUGCGCCCACGCAUCGAGGUGUUGUAAAAGCUGCCACGGUACUUUUCACCUGUGCAGUGCGAGAUUGGCCAGCCGGUUUAAAAACCCCUCCAAACAAUCAAAGGUUGACCUCGGAUCAGGUAGGGAUACCCGCUGAACUUAAGCAUAUCAAUAAGCGGAGGA